UUUGAAGAAAGAAAGUAGUCAAAGAACUCUGCAGAGGCCAGGAAUGGCUGCCCUCCAGCCCUGCCUCUGACAUCACCUGAAAGGAGCACCAAAGGCUCUGGGCCUGGCGUCUUAGAGAGCUGUGCUAUGGGCCAACAACUUACAAAAAGCUGUUAGCACUGGUGUUUGACACCGCCUACUAGUGACUGGUGGUCACCAGCACUGGUGGCUAGAGCUGCCCCCGCACUGUUGAUGGGUGAUCAUCUCACUUUUGAGAGCUGUUGAUCUUCCAGCACCAACUCCUGGUGCUGCUGCCUUUGUUUGCUGUCUGGUCCAGCAUCUUGGUGCUGUCCAUCACAACCUUCAGACUGUUGUUGUGGCUGCUGUGGCAUCACCUCAGCGGCCCCACCUGUGAGCAACUCUGGCUGCGGUUGACUCUUGACCCUUUGGAUUGUUGCUGAAAGCAGAGGGACAACUGACACAGGUUCUGGAAUGUGACAAAUGAUGGUAACUAUGCUUUCUAUGCAGAAGGACCUGGCCAUGUAACUACCAAGGACUUACUGGGUGACUAGGACAAUCUUCUCAGAGCAAAGGGAAUCCUGGUUCAGAAGAGAACAGUGAUAAACUUGUGCAUGGAACUGAGCACUAGAUAGACCUACCAGACAGAGGUCCCAGAACACGGGCUGGGCGGACAUUGGGACUGUGUUCAGGAGACUGAUAUAUCUUAAUGGUAUCACAGCUCAAACAGUCUAGAGGUAUAGAUUCAAGGACCUGAUGAAUUCCAUUUCUCACUUCUCUCCAAUUUAUUGUAUUAGCUAGCUCAUUCACUCAACUUUAAAUAGAAGAAAUUCUGCA